GAUGAAGAACGUAGCGAAAUGUGAUAAGUAAUGUGAAUUGCAGAAUUCAGUGAAUCAUCGAAUCUUUGAACGCACAUUGCGCCCCUUGGUAUUCCGGGGGGCAUGCCUGUUCGAGCGUCAUUUCAACCCUCAAGCUCUGCUUGGUAUUGGGCUCCGUCCUCCUCGGACGCGCCUCAAAGACCUCGGCGGUGGCGUCUUGCCUCAAGCGUAGUAGAAACACCUCGCUUUGGAGUGCAUGGCGUCGCCCGCCGGACGAAACCUUUUGUAUUUUCUCAAGGUUGACCUCGGAUCAGGUAGGGAUACCCGCUGAACUUAAGCAUAUCAAUAAGCGGAGGA
rnacentral:misc_RNA from 1 species